CGGAGGGUGCAAGCGUUGUCCGGAAUCAUUGGGUGUAAAGGGUGCGUAGGCGGACUGCUAAGUCUGGGGUGAAAUCUUGCCGCUUAACGGUAAAAUGGCCUUGGAUACUGGCAGUCUUGAGUGUAGAAGAGGCAGGUGGAAUUCGUAGUGUAGCGGUGAAAUGCAUAGAUAUUACGAAGAACAUCAGUGGCGAAGGCGGCCUGCUGGUCUACAACUGACGCUGAGGCACGAAAGCGUGG
rnacentral:rRNA from 14 species